AGAAAAAGGAGAGCAUUGGUCAAAUCGUACAAGCUUUCACUUAUGACAUGAGAGGAUACUGUUGCCUUUUUGAAGAAGGGAAAGACCACCCUGGAGUUGCUAAGAUCAGGAAGAGGAAACGAAAAAAAAAGCUAACAUAUAAUUGGCUAAAAGAAAUAGAGGUAAUAAACCAAACCAGAAAAUGUCUCAAGGAAAUGUAUGUCUAAGUGAUUUGAUUGCUACUGCAGGCCAGUGUCCAGUGUCGCUCGAGGAAGCACUGCGGACAAAGGGAACAAUGACCAGCAAGAUGAACAGCUGUCUUUGGGAGGAUUGUAGCAAAGGGAUGGCCCGACAGAACCAUGUUUCAUUUCAACGGUCCUUCACUGAAGUGGGAUACACCAUAGAGGCGGAGCUGAAGUCACUGGACUUGGGGGAUUUGGGUACUUAUGCAAGAUCAAUGCAGCCACACAAUGAGGAAGUCGCUGAUAGGAUCAUGGUGAGAAGAACAAAUAAGCAUGCCACUGAAUAACCAUACGGCAAACUUCCUGUUUGUCUAAG